GGUGGCGAGCUCUCUGCAACUCUCACAUGGUCAUCCACUGAGCUACAGUAAGCAGGGCUGCGCAUGGUCAGUACCUGGAUGGGAGACCACAUGGGAAAGCUAGGUUGCUAUUG
rnacentral:rRNA from 1 species